rnacentral:lncRNA from 1 species
GGCGCCCCCACCGUGCCGGAUGUUAAUCGUUUAUUUUGCGUUGGAUUGCGUGGGCUGAACAAUCCGGACAUCGUGGCCACCGACGUGGACCCCGCGAACCACGCAGAGCGGCUUGUACUCCCAGAGGCUUCAACAGAGGGUCUGGAGCUGGGAGCUGCAGGUGGAUGGUGGCCAGGAGCCGUUCAGUCCUACAGGAACGACGGUAGAGGUGAUGGAGGUGCUCGCCAUGAGGUCCGUGGCGGUCGUCUGGAGGUGCUCGUCUGGAGGUCCGUGGCGGUCGUCUGGAGGUGCUCACCUGGAGGUCCAUGGCGGUCGUCUGGAGGUGCUCGUCUGGAGGUCCGUGGCGGUCGUCUGGAGGUGCUCGCCGUGGCGGUCGUCUGGAGGUGCUCGUCUGGAGGUCCGUGGCGGUCGUCUGGAGGUGCUCGCCGUGAGGGCCGUGGCGGUCGUCUGGAGGCGCUCGCUGCAGGUGGAGGGAAGGCCGAGAGCCGUGCAGCCCAAGGGAUGCAGAACGAAGGACUGAGGCGGAGGCCAGCCUGGAGGCGGAGGCCAGCCUGGAAGUCCUGGAUGCGUCCAACCUGGAAGGGGCAGCAUGGAGGGGCCAGGUGGCGGCUCCUCAUCCAAAGGGCCCAGAGGCGGCCAACCUGGAAGGCCUGGAGACGGCGGAGGUCCUGGAGGCGGAGGCCAACCUGGAGGUCCUGGAGGCGGUGGGCCUGGAGGCGGCGGCAGCGGCCAUCCUGGAGGCGGACUACCUGGAGGUCCUGGAGGCGGAUUGUGGAGACCAUCCUGGAGGGCCCGGCGGCGGCGUCCUGGAGGGCCCGGAGGCGGAGGCUCCUCAUCCAGUAA